CGCCAGCGCGGGGGGCGGCCGCGCCCGGGGCCCCCGGCCCGCCCCGCUCCGGCACGCGGGUCACGCAGGUUUAAGCUGCCUUAAAGGAGAAUUAAAAAUAGUGACUUCAAAGAACAAAAUAACACAGAAGAGAGAAAACAGCACUCAAAAAACCCCCAGAAAGGGGUAGCAGGUUGUUUGACACACAUGGGCACAGAAGAUUAUGAACAGUGAAGACAAUGAAGAGUGGGACAUCCAUCAAAGAGUAACAACCUCUUAUAAGGUGACUCUAGUGAGCUCAUGAGGCUCCUGUAAAGGCCAGACUCAGCUAGGAUGUUACACCACCACUGCAGGAGGAACCCUGAGCUGCAGGAAGAGUUGCAGAUCCAGGCUGCCGUGGCCGCCGGCGAUGUUCACACCGUGCGCAAGAUGCUGGAGCAGGGAUAUUCUCCAAACGGUCGGGAUGCCAAUGGCUGGACCUUGCUUCACUUCUCUGCAGCAAGAGGCAAGGAGAGAUGUGUCCGUGUUUUUCUGGAACAUGGAGCUGAUCCCACAGUUAAGGACUUAAUUGGAGGCUUCACUGCUCUGCAUUACGCAGCCAUGCAUGGCCGGGCGAGGAUUGCGCGCCUGAUGCUGGAAUCUGACUACAGAAGUGACAUUAUUAAUGCCAAGAGCAACGACGGCUGGACUCCCCUGCACGUCGCUGCUCACUACGGCAGAGACUCCUUUGUCAGGCUCCUCCUGGAGUUCAAGGCUGAGGUUGAUCCGCUCAGUGAUAAAGGUACUACACCACUCCAGCUGGCCAUUAUCCGGGAGAGGUCAAGCUGUGUGAAAAUCCUCCUGGACCACAAUGCCAACAUCGACAUUCAGAAUGGUUUCCUGUUACGAUACGCUGUGAUCAAAAGCAAUCACUCGUACUGCCGAAUGUUCCUCCAGAGAGGGGCCGAUACAAACUUGGGGCGCUUGGAAGAUGGACAGACACCCUUGCACUUGUCUGCUCUUAGAGAUGAUGUGCUUUGUGCACAAAUGUUGUAUAAUUACGGAGCAGACACUAACACAAGGAACUAUGAAGGACAGACCCCACUGGCUGUUUCAAUAAGUAUUUCUGGAAGUAGCCGACCCUGUCUGGAUUUCUUACAAGAAGUGACAAGACAGCCCAGAAACUUGCAAGAUCUAUGCCGAAUUAAAAUCCGUCAGUGUAUAGGCCUUCAAAACCUCAAACUGCUUGAUGAGCUACCCAUUGCCAAGGUCAUGAAAGACUACUUAAAACACAAAUUUGAUGAUAUCUGAUAUCCAUGAAGAGAGGAACUGUGAGCAAGUUUAGUUCUAUUCCAGAUACUGAAGAGGCUUGUUGCCUUGCACAAAGUAUAUCCUAUGCAAAUUCUGAUUUUUCUGUGAAGUCAGAAGGCAGGUAUACACUUCCUUGGGUUUUUUAUACCACACGCUAGAAGGUCUUAAUUUUUGGUUUCUUGGUCCAAGUUUAAAAGGUCCAAGCUUUCUAUACGAUAUUGCAUUUUAAAAAUUGCUGUUGGUUUUCUGUUUGUUUUCACAUUAUGUGUGCAGACUUGCCGUGGAGAUGGAAGGCAGCCCCUCGAGGGAAGUGCUUGGUUUGAGUUGGCAUGCUGAGCAAGAACAAAAAAGUUUGGAAAUCAAGGCACCAAUCCUGCAAAAGGAUACAGAUAGACCUCCAGAGCCCUGUUUGUUAGGACCUCUUGUCUCUGCCAGGUUAGAGAGCGGGAAGUGCACAUAAGCUAUUAACUAAGAAGACAAGCCCCACUGACAUUGAAAGUUCAAAUUUUGCAAUUAAUCUGAAAGCAGAAACUGAGAGGAGUGCUGAAAUCUGGCUACUGAAUGUGUCUUUCAAACCAGAAGUGAGUUGUGCCUUAUAAAGCCCUUCUUGACACAAACUUCUUGGAUGCAUCAAUCAGUCAAGGAGACUGGGGAGACCACAACCUUUCCAGAGUACCAAAGAAGGUGGAGGCAGGAAUGGAGGAGGAGCAGAACAGCACUCUGAGAAGGAGUAAGGAGCUGUGGCCAAAGCUUUGAGGAAAGUCAAGGAGGGAGUUGGAGGAAGUGGCAAAGUUCCCCAAUUAUCCAGAGAGCUGUGGUUUCUCCAUUCCCAGAGCUGACCCAGCAGAAACUGCUUAGAAGAGUUAGAGGUCCUCAAUGCAGCAAGUUCCCUUUUCCUCCUGUUAUUCCAGUGGUGUCCUGCUGUCCUGGCUGUGUGAGGUUCCCAGAGUUAUUCUGGACCCUGAUAAAUCAGACCUUCAAUAUGGAGAAAUGACCUGCACCUGGAUAAGCCAAAUAUCCACCUAAGUUUUAAAAGAAUGAGAGAGCCAAAACAUUUGCAGGAUGGUAAUCCAGAGCACAGGUGUACACAAGCAGUUUUCAGAGCACUGGACUGGACACCAGACAGCAAAUCUCAAGAGUUUUCUCCAUAUUCCCCAAACUGAUACAGGACCAGUCUGUCAGGCUGUUGGCACAAAACAACAUUUGUUUUAUUGUUGGGAUGUAAUUUUGACAGGAGCUGAAAGAACCUCCCUGGGCUGGAGGGAGGAAUUGGACCUGCGUCUCACACAUCUCAACCGAGGGCCUUGACAGCUGCAUAUGCCUUGGUAAACCAUAGCUGGAGCACAUCUCUCCAGAAGAGAAAUUCACUCCUUGCUUUGAAGACAAAGUGCUGAGGCAUCCACUGCAUUCCUUCCUGACAUGUUCCAGUGGUUGGCUGCCCUCAUUCCAAACCAGAUGUCUCCUCUCUGAUUUGAAUGCUGCUGACUUCAGAUUCCUGCCAUUAGACCUUCUUCUGCCUGUUCCUGAUGGAGGUGAGGAGCUCCAGGUUGUUGGAUACCCAGGCUGCCACUGCUACCCAACGAAGCAGCCGCGUCAGGGCCAGAGAGACAUAACAGCACCCUAAUUCAAGAAAAUUCCUUCAAUUUGUCUCUUGGCUGUUACAGCCAUUUAGUGGGAGCAAGGCUUUCAUGUGCACAGCCCUGGUCUGGUUUUCCCAUUGCUGGCUCUUCCUUGAGCCACCUGCUUGGUUAAACAGUGGGGGUUUGUCUUUAGUUCAGUUUUCCUCCUCUUAUGAAGAGAUAAAUCUCUUAAAACGUUUAUUUCACACCCCCCCACCCUUUUUUUGUUUAAUGUCAUACCAUUGGGGCAAUAAAUACUCUGUAGUUUCAUCUUGCCACAAUGCUGGUUGAGGCUAAACUGAUGCAGUUUUUGGUUAAGCAAUGGAGGUUCUUUCCAUAAA